rnacentral:rRNA from 1 species
CACGUAGGAGGCGAGCGUUGUCCGGAAUCAUUGGGCGUAAAGAGCGCGCAGGCGGCCCGGCAAGUCGGGUGUGAAAUCCCGGGGCUCAACCCCGGGACUGCAUUCGAUACUGCCGGGCUAGAGGUAGGUAGGGGAGAUCGGAAUUCCUGGUGUAGCGGUGAAAUGCGCAGAUAUCAGGAGGAACACCAAUGGCGAAGGCAGCUCGCUGGAACGGUACUGACGCUGAGGCGCGAAAGCGUGGGGAGCGAACAGG